rnacentral:RNase_P_RNA from 1 species
GCGGGUGGUUGGGUGAUCGCCCUGAUUUGGCACUGCUGAAUCGGGGAGGAAAGUCCGAACACCCCACCGGUCGCAAGGCCGGCGGAAGGAGGUAGUCGCUAACAGCGACGGGGUAUACCGGCAUGCUGGAGAUCGCGCUAGCGCCUUCAGGGUGCCCCAAGCCCACGGAGAGUUUCCGCCAUUGGCGGGAGGAUCCCGAUGCAGUGUCGAGCAUCCGGCACGCAUGGGGACCGCAACAGAAAAGAUACCGCCACUGACGAUGCGACCAGUGCAGUGGUAAGGGUGAAAUCGUGCGGUAAGAGCGCACGCGGGACUGCCCCGUGAGGGGCGUCGUGGCAAACACCUACCCGGUGCAAGGGGAAUGACCCCCGCAUCGAGCUGCGCAGUAAUGCGCAGCCCAGAGAGAUGAUCACCCCCGCAUCGCGGGAACAGAAUUCGGCUUACAGGCCGCCCGCAGCA